rnacentral:rRNA from 1 species
UGGGGAAUAUUGCACAAUGGGCGAAAGCCUGAUGCAGCGACGCCGCGUGAAGGAUGAAGUAUUUCGGUAUGUAAACUUCUAUCAGCAGGGAAGAAAAUGACGGUACCUGACUAAGAAGCCCCGGCUAACUACGUGCCAGCAGCCGCGGUAAUACGUAGGGGCGAAGCGUUAUCCGGAAUUACUGGGUGUAAAGGGUGUGUAGGCGGGGUGUCAAGUCAGAUGUGAAAACUGUGGGCUUAACCCACAAACUGCAUUUGAAACUGGUACUCUUGAGAGUGGGAGAGGUAAACGGAAUUCCUGGUGUAGUAGUGAAAUGCGUAGAUAUCAGGAGGAACACCGGUGGCGAAGGCGGUUUACUGGACCACAACUGACGCUGAGACACGAAAG